rnacentral:rRNA from 1 species
UACGUAGGGAGCAAGCGUUGUCCGGAAUCAUUGGGCGUAAAGCGCGCGUAGGUGGCCCCAUAAGUCCGCUGUGAAAGUCAAAGGCUCAACCUUUGAAAGCCGGUGGAUACUGUCGGGCUUGAGUACGGAAGAGGCGAGUGGAAUUCCUGGUGUAGCGGUGAAAUGCGCAGAUAUCAGGAGGAACACCAAUUGCGAAGGCAGCUCGCUGGGACGUUACUGACGCUGAGACGCGAAAGCGUGGGGAGCAAACAGG